CUUUCUUUUUUGAUGAUGAGAGGAAGUGGAUGGGUAUUAGAAAAGAAAAAAAUGGAAAAAAAUCUGCAAGUGUUUUGGGAGUCCAGAAGAGAAAGGACAGUCUUAAGGUUAGAACCAGAAUCAUUUAUAGAAGUUUUCAUUCAGAAGCUUUUAACUAAGAUGUUCCUGUUUGUCAAUUACUGAGAAUCUUUCAAGGCUAAUUCACAGUCAGCCUUCUCCGAGAAGCCUUUCCCAGCUGCCCUAACCCCAGACCUCAGUGAUCUCUCUGUCCUUUGAACUUUGAGUACAUGAUAUCUAUGCCAAUCAUCCAUUUGACACUGAGCUUAUGUAUUCUUAUUGGAAAGCAAGUCCUCAAAGUCAGAGACAGUGAAUGCCUCAUGCCUCUUGACCCCAGCACUUGGUCCACGGUAGUGUCUCACUAAGUGUUGAUGAUGAUGGUGGGGGUGGUAGUGAUGAUGAUGACAUGAUUCUGGAAUUUGUUCACUUAUUGCAGAGUUUGCGAAAUUUGAAUGCCAGAAAGAAGUAUCUGCUUGCAGAAAUGACCAGGUUGAGAUAAUCUGCAAAAGCACCAUGGACUUUGAUAGUAUAGACUUGUUUUUCCGUAGUGACAAGAAAGACGAAGAACUCCUCUUCAGCAUGACCACAGUAGGAGAGUCUCACCUUCAGCAUGGGAUGCGUCUCAGAUUUAAGAAUCAAGAAGCCACGUUGGUGAUUCAGAACAUCCAAUUUUCCCAUUGUGGAGUCUACCGGUGGCAUCUUUCAGGCCAAGGGUCCUCAAAUAAGUUCACUACACUAACUGUUUCAGAACCCCCUACAUCUCCAAGGAAAAUGGCUGUCUGAUCUGCAGAGCAACCAAUGUAAAGGCAGGGAGAAGAAUCAUCUGGUCCAAUGACCUGCCAAGAAGGCAGACGGAGUUCACAUCCACUCAGGAUGCCACAGGCCUAUUCAAUCUCAGCAGCUCUCAACUCUGGAAUGACAGUUUCUAUAGUAAUCCACCAUGCUGUAAAGUCAUGGAUGAGAAGGGCUCCCAAGAACUUUGUGCACAAACUUGCUAUACCAGUGCCAUCGUGGAAAAGUCCUCAGGUAAAGUCUGGAAGAAUGUGUCAGAGGCAGCUAACAACUUUUUGAGUUUUUCUUGCUGUUUAGGCUAACAAUUGCAAUCCCAGUGGCAUUUGGGACAGGACCCAGCAAGAAGCUCAGAAAUACUGUGCAGGAUGCUGAACUUUGUCACUUUGAGAAAAUAAUUCAUUUUUUAAAGCACUUUAAGGUUUACGGUUUGCUUUUUGCAUAAUAACCUUCUGAGGCAGGCUGAGUGAAUAUUAUUAUCCACACUGCCAUUUGCAAGACGAUGAAACUGAGAGUGAGGAAGGGAAUACAGCUCAUUAGUGUAAGGGCCAGAAUUUGAACCCAGGUCAUCUAACUCUAAAUGUAGGAUUUUUGCCACACCAACCUCUCUCCAAAAUGAGAACUCCCUCAGGUUCUCCUUGGUUGACCAGUCAAUAAAAUAUUACCUAAGUCUAGGAAUAUUAUUCUA
rnacentral:lncRNA from 1 species